GCUGCUGCUGCCCCCGCUCCCGCCGCCGCCGCCGCUCUUCCUGCUCGUGCCCGUCGCCAUCUUCGCCGUCCUGGUCCUGCUCGUGCUCGUCCCCUCCGACGCCAGGGGCGCCGCCAGCACCGCUACGCCCUACUCCUCCUCCUAUAGUUAGCUACCUUAUUAGAUUGGGCGCCCGGCCUUGUCGUCAUGUAAAUGUAAUUAAACGCGGACUCGGUGUGCUCGUCUUGUUCUUCAGAGAUCAAUCCAUGGAGAGGCUUUUGUUUUGCUCGAUUCGAUCAGUCCCGAUUUCGUCGAUGGUUCUUCCCUCUCUGCAUUUGCUUCUGCAAGUACGACGGUGACAAACUGACAACCGUCGAAUUGACUUCAUUCUUGCAAAGUUGCAAUCCAGAAUUCGACCCGGACAUCGAUUCAGAUUUGGAUCCUGAACUCGUAGAGAUCUCUGAUGAUUCCGCCUCCGAGUCCGAGAGCUCUGCAUCAUUGAACUUAGAUGCAGAGCACAGCGACGAUCGAGUGGCAGCUCACGUGCCAGCAGCCAGAUGGGCCAGGGUGAUGUGGGGGCAGAUUCAGUUUCAACUUUCAACUUCCAAGGGAGUCAGAAACUCGUACCAGCGAUAGUCGUCGUGUUCCUCGCGCAGCUUCUAUCCGCGAAACGAGCAGGAUCAUGCAGUUGUUAGGAUUUCCGGGAGUCGUCACUAGCAAGAUCUCAACGAACCUGGACACGAGCUUUCUCCACACGCUACUCUGCACAGAUUUUUUUUUCCCCUUGAAGUGUUGCUGCAGCUAGAAGAAAAGUAAAGUAGUAGCUCGAAAGAUGAUGCGCAUCGAUAGAUUGCGUCACGAGAAUGUUGGAAAAAAUGGGGGCUUGUUCGUCCAUCCAACUAUAUCCAAGAAUCUAGGUGCCUUCCAAAAAGAGAAAUAUUACGGGCCUAGUUAAUGGGUAUCCGGCUCAACACUAGCUACUGUUUCAUACAGGCACGGUUAUGGAUGGGAUGCAUUCCGAGUUUUUCUGUACUAGGCCGCAGAAUACAAAGCCCACACGGCCCUGAGCUUUAAACCAAGCCCACCGCCGACCACCACCCGGCCCACAUGGGUAUUGUCAUUUAUGUAUGGCGGUUGUAGUAGUAGCCCAACUUGCGGCGUAUGCGUGCAAUAAAGCAGGCCGCCCAGCGUGCACGCGAUUGAGCGAAUGGCCCAGCGGGUAGGCCCGAUGCGUGGAAGUAAAAGCGCGCGGCGGUUGGUGGUGGACUGGACGGUGCUCCCAAACCAGACGGAGGAGCCAAUCAUAACUCCCCUGACCAACACUACCCCGUUAUGAUUAUUCGUGUGGACGGCGCCAGGCUCAUGUGCUCGGUUUAGUGCACACUUGGAAAUGUAAUGCAAUUGGCAAGCUCAAGUAUUCGCUGCAUAUAUGUAUGAGACACGUACUGCCGUUUUGUUUUGUUUUUUGUUUUUUUUAAAAAAUGUUGCCACAUUUCUACAAAUAGCUACGACAAGCAUUGGGCCUAUUCAGCUAGACUUAUAAGUCGGCUGAAAAGCUGAAACAACUGAUUUGUUGUGAGAGAAAAACAUCGUUCGGUGGCUAAUAAGCCGGCUGAUAAGCUGAGAAAAACAUUGUUAGCUGCAGUACUCCAAUAGUUCAAUACAAACGUCGAGAGAGGGCAGCUACGGAUCGAGAUACCCUAUGCUUACUACCUCUCUUCUCUCUAUUUAUAUCUAUAUAUCAUUAUCUUUCCAUGCAAUGGUGUUUAUUAUUAUUUGACAUGUUAAUCCAUGUCUUAAGAGCUCUGGUAGGUCUCUGUUUUUUUUAAGACGAGAUGGAAAUGAACAAAUCCCAGCUGCUGUGAAGAUCUCUCCAGUUUAUGCUUAGCUUUCAUAGUUUUCAUAGUAGAAGACCAUGAUCUUUUUCUACCACAAUGUCGAUUUGAAAAAUACUAAACCUAGAUGUGCACUAAUAAGCAGUCCGUAUAUGGUUGUACCUCAAAAUCAAGUUUAUUUUCUGGAGAAAAGAGGCAUUUGUUAUUGUGGUUACUAUUUAUUUAUAUUCAUAGUCCUUCCCUCUAUCAAAAUGAUGUUUCAAAGUUUGGCUAACUAUCUACCUUAUGAAUAAUUAUGAUCGUUGACAGAUCGAUCAUCAUAUGAAGAAUGGCACGUGCGCUGUCAUGUACUCCCUCCGUCCCAAAUUAUAGGUCGUUUUGACUUUAUUAGAUUCAUAGACUUUGUUAUACACUUAGAUAUACCCUAUGUCUAGAUGCAUAAUAAUAUCUAUGUAUCUAGAAAAGUCAAAACGACCUAUAAUUUGGAACGGAGGGAGUACGGUUCUUCUUGUUGUAGUUAAUACUAUAAUGCUUUGGUUCCAAGCAUUGAGUAAAUCCACAUUAUUCCACAACAUUUAUUAAGAACUAUGUUUAUAAACUAAUAACUAGACUUUUCUGAUUUCAGAACUCUGUUUAUGAACCUAUAUACACAUAAGUAUAUAUCAUAAUGCAUAAGGGCUUUCACUUUAAGAUCCUACAGUGCACAUUUAUAAACCCCAAUACAUACGUCUUCAUCAUUUCAUGUAACCAUAAAAGCCGUAAAUGAAUGCUGGAAACAAUAAAUAAAGUGAAAAUGAUUGGAACAUAUAUAUACAUAUAUACGCCUAGCUAAAGACCAGAUGACCAAAUAAUAUUUAUUCCAUUUCUAGUCGAUUCAUAUGCUACAAAGGUCUGAAUUUUCAAAUAGAAAUUGACAUAUCAUUACACCCUCUAUUCAUGUGAUGAACUGAAUAAUAGAGGAACAUUGCAUGGGACUAGAACUGCCUCAUCCUACUCCAUUACACCUUAACCCAUGUCCCAGCCCAAAUAAUUAAGUCUCUACACAUGCAUAUACAUCCGUAUUCAUAUAUAGAAUACGUGCUACUAAGCACGCAUACAGGCAUGAGAAUGCUAGCUUAAUUCUUGCCCUAGAUCAUGCCUGCAUCAUAUGUGUGCGUGCAUGCCCUCGGAAAGUCACUUGAAGUUUGUGCAAACCUUGGGUGAUUCUAGGAGAGGGUUCCAGUCCCAAAUCUUUUCCAUGCUAGGAAAAGGAAGCAAUGGACCUUGUGAUGAUGGCAAGGGCUGGUUAGGGUUUCCCUGGUUACUGUAUGACCCAAUUGCCCUACUCAGCUCAUCUAUGGGAAUGGUUGCCAUUGUAGUGGAGUUUGCAUUAAGCAGGGCGUGUGUGGAAGAAGGCAGCAGCUGUGGGUUGGCGCCCUUCAUGUGGUAGAGUGAUGUACCGUCCUCCUCCGUCGACGUGGUGGAGCUAAGCGAGGCGGUUGACAGGAACGCCAUUGAUGUCUGAGGCGCCAUUGUUGCUGCUGCUCGAGCUGCAGCUGAUGAUGCCAUGAUUGUGCCACUGUAUGGCUUGUUCAUGUGAGCUGAUGAUGAGUGGCCACCGUCGAACAUUGGUGCCAAGCGUGGCGAUGCUGACGUCCGGUGGUGCUUCUUUUCCAUCGAUGCUGCCGCCUUUGAGCCUGAUGAUCUUGUGUUGGUGGUGAGGUGAAAGUUGUCUUCAAUCCCAGGACGUUUAUACACUCGGCAAAGGGAAAUCUCCUGCAUAUAUAAUAUGAAGAUGAAUUGAUCAAGAUUAAUCCAAAAUGAAAUUGGUGUUUGUAAACGCAGACAAGAACAAUUAACGCAUGCAGGAGAGACUACAAGUGUUCUUAUCCAUCCAGUGAUUUGAUCAAACAUAGUACAUACACCUGGUUAUUGAAACAAAGGAAGUUUGCAGCCAGGAAAAAAAGAAGAAGAGAGAUCACAAGUUAUAACAAAACUUUGUUGCGUUAUUGGAAAAAAAAAUUCCAAGGGAAGCAUGUUAUCUUUCAUGUUGCUCUAAAUAAAUAAAGAUAUAUAACGAGUUCAAAGUAUAAUUAAAUUUCCUUUUCAGCUGUGGAUCAUAUAUAUGUUUCAUUGCUUCUAGAGUUCCUACUACUAUUGUUUUAUAAUAACCAUGGAGUACAUGUGUUUUCCCCUUUCGAGUAGUUAGUCAUGCCAGGUUUCCACAUCUUAAAAAGUAAGUUGUAAACUUUUUGGAUAUGAAGGAUGUUGAUGAUGAAUACUUCCAAAAAGGAGGAACAAGCCUUUCCAAAGGAAAAGUGAAGAAAAAGAGUCACCGAUCUGUGAAAAAAUUGGGGAGAACCUUUUUUUUCAAGCUUCCUCCAAGUACUGAAGAAAAAAUUGAGAUGCACCAGCUGCAUGUGAUGCAAAUAGCCUAAUUAACUGUGGAAAAAAAUUGGGAAGGGCAUGCAUACGUAGAUAUCUAAUUCUAAUUAGCUAGGUUGAACCACAACCAUAUGGGGAUCUUAGCUAGAUCUUGCUCAUGCAAUAAUUCUAGGGAGCACCUUUAACACUUUUGCGCAACAGUUUGCCUAUACACAUGAUGCCAGCCGGCGAUCACACGAACAGAAGCUAGCUAGCAAUCAUAUCAACCCAACUUCCAAAAAGUGAGGGGAAUUUUAAGUGGAAGCAUCUUUCAUAGAACACUUUAUGCUUUUCAGGGAUCUCAAAGAAAAUUCAAAAACCAAUCCAAUUAAGGAAAACAAAAA
rnacentral:lncRNA from 1 species